rnacentral:rRNA from 1 species
AGUGAACGCUGGCGGCAGGCCUAACACAUGCAAGUCGAGCGGCAGCGGGUCCUUCGGGAUGCCGGCGAGCGGCGGACGGGUGAGGAAUGCGUCGGAAUCUGCCUUUUUGUGGGGGAUAACGUAGGGAAACUUACGCUAAUACCGCAUACGACCUACUGGUGCAAGUGGGGGACCGCAAGGCCUCACGCAGAAAGAUGAGCCGACGUCGGAUUAGCUAGUUGGCGGGGUAAAGGCCCACCAAGGCGACGAUCCGUAGCUGGUCUGAGAGGAUGAUCAGCCACACUGGAGCUGAGACACGGUCCAGACUCCUACGGGAGGCAGCAGUGGGGAAUAUUGGACAGUGGGCGCAAGCCUGAUCCAGCCAUGCCGCGUGUGUGAAGAAGGCCUUCGGGUUGUAAAGCACUUUUGUCCGGAAAGAAAUCCUGUCGGCUAAUACCCGGCGGGGAUGACGGUACCGGAAGAAUAAGCACCGGCUAACUUCGUG